CCAGUCCAAUAAGUUAUAAUUAGACAAAAUGGGUGUUCAGAAGUCUAGUAUUUCCCACCCAUACAGGAAGCAUGUGACAUGACACAGGCAAACUUGUCCUGUGUCUGCUAACUCUAUUUCCUUGUGGGGGUUGAAGCAUCACACAGCCCAGUAACUUUGCCUGUAACUCUUGAGCACAGGGCACAGAAAUGAAGAUCUGGAUUUUAGAUAGAACAGAAGACAUUUCACUCAAGGGAAGAGCUACCAAUACGCUGAUCACCAACACGCUGAGGGCAGUCACAGCCUCUUUCUGUCUCGGUGGAUGGCCACAAACACAGGACUCAAGCUCCUCUUAGUUCAGAAGGCGGUGGAAAGAUGCAGAUUAUUGUUAUCUGGAUCCAGCAGGACCCAGAAGGUAAAUCAAGCCCAGUCUACAAUUUCCGUGGUAGAGGAGGAGCCUGCAACCUUGGGCUAGCUUGGCAGAAUCAGCAAAUGUAGAAGAUGCCGGUUUGCCAAGCAUGAGGUCACACUGAACUCUGACCAGCUGGCUGGACCUCCAGAGGACGCAGCUGCUCCUGCGAAGUCCUAAGGCAGGUUGAGAGACAGACUUUCUAGUCACGGGGACUCCAAACAUCCUUGUAAAAUGAAGACCAUUCUCCUGGCCCUAGAGAAACUAAGAAUGUUGUAACUGAGUGAGGUUCUUUCAAAGUCAGAGAGUUCCGUCUACAGCAGGGUUGCAAAUGCACAGACUCAUAGGUGCCAAAAACAGAAUGAAAAUGAGUGUCGUUGUCCAAGUCUUUAAAAAAAGGUAGAAGCCAUCGCUCACACUGGGCCCAGUAUCAGAGGGAUGAAAGAAAGCGAUGCUAUAAAAUCCAGGCGUCUCCCAAGUAGAGGGGGAGUCCUGAAAGGUUAUCCAAAGAUUGAAGUUUGUCCCUGAGUCCCGCCCAAGUCAGGCUGCGAGCUUAUUGAAUAUGGACAGGCUGACGCACAGAUGCUAUAAUAUAGGGAGCCUCUGCCUGGGGGGCUGGAAAUGUGAAGCUGUCACAGCCGACAGGACAGCUGAGGCCUGUCCCAGCCCCUGAAUAAAGUGAUGAUUGCGGCCAUGAGGCUCCAGCCCCUGCUGCUUCUCAAUCCUUCUCCCUCUUCAGAUAUUCCCUGAAAUUAGUCACCCUCAUACCCCACACUGCAGAGCCUCUGAUCUUGCACACGAAAUCUCUACUGCAAAGUUGUUCCAGGAUCCCCCGAGCUAGAGUUUGACUUAAGUCAAAUAAAGUUAAGUAGCAGAAUUUAAAAACAAAUAUAAAAAGUUACUGCUCACUCAAUGAGCUGUGCAGGUUCCUGAAUCACUUAGAUUACAUGACUUCUAUUCUGGACUGAAUCCCUGAUUUUUUUUUGAAGAAGAAAUGAAAAUAGAUAUUAGGUCCAUGUUCCAUGCAAUACAAAUAAGCUGUGAAAUCACCCCGUCUCCUCCUUCACUUGACUACAUGUAGCUGUUGCCUUCUCUGGCUCCUGGUGCCACCUCUCUGUUACCCACAUCCUCUGCUGAGUUUGCCCUCACUCUCGUCUCCUUCUAGACAGUGGGAUACAGGCUCAACAGCUUAGUGCCCCCCACAAUGUCAUCUUUAAAAACCUUUCCACUGGAUUUCAUAACUCAAGUUUCCUUACCUUUGAGAAGAAUAAAAUUGCUCAUCAGAGUCAGAUGUCCUUUGGAGGGAACAGUAUGAUGCUAAAUGUGGACUCUCCUCGGAAGUAGGUGGAAUCCCUAUGCUUCACACCGUCACUGAUCCAUAAUCUCCAGUCUUCUUCAGCAUUUCCAGAGAGAAACAAGAUUAUCUGAACUUGAAAUAGUAACUCAAUCAAGUAAGCUUCCUGAAGAAGUGAAAAUCAUCUUUGUUUCUUGUUUGCUCGAUUUAAAAAGAUACCACCUCUUGGGGCCGGCCCCAUGGCCGAGUGGUUAAGUUUGCGUGCUCUGCUUUGGCGGUCCAGGGUUUUGCCAGUGCAA